AGAAUCAACGCUGGCGGCGUGCCUCAGACAUGCAAGUCGAACGCGAAAGUCCCCUUCGGGGGACAAGUAGAGUGGCGCACGGGUGAGUAACACGUAGGUAAUCUACCUUUGGAUGGGGAAUAACAAUCGGAAACGGUUGCUAAUACCGCAUAAUGCAGCGGCACCUAAUGGUGACAGUUGUUAAAAGCGGGGGAUCGAAAGACCUCGCGUCUGAAGAGGAGCCUGCGGCGGAUUAGCUAGUUGGUAAGGUAAUGGCUUACCAAGGCUACGAUCC
rnacentral:rRNA from 1 species